rnacentral:rRNA from 1 species
AGAGUUUGAUCAUGGCUCAGAUUGAACGCUGGCGGCAGGCCUAACACAUGCAAGUCGAGCGGUAGCACAGAGAGCUUGCUCUCGGGUGACGAGCGGCGGACGGGUGAGUAAUGUCUGGGAAACUGCCUGAUGGAGGGGGAUAACUACUGGAAACGGUAGCUAAUACCGCAUAAUGUCGCAAGACCAAAGUGGGGGACCUUCGGGCCUCAUGCCAUCAGAUGUGCCCAGAUGGGAUUAGCUAGUAGGUGGGGUAACGGCUCACCUAGGCGACGAUCCCUAGCUGGUCUGAGAGGAUGACCAGCCACACUGGAACUGAGACACGGUCCAGACUCCUACGGGAGGCAGCAGUGGGGAAUAUUGCACAAUGGGCGCAAGCCUGAUGCAGCCAUGCCGCGUGUGUGAAGAAGGCCUUCGGGUUGUAAAGCACUUUCAGCGGGGAGGAAGGCGGUGAGGUUAAUAACCUCAUCGAUUGACGUUACCCGCAGAAGAAGCACCGGCUAACUCCGUGCCAGCAGCCGCGGUAAUACGGAGGGUGCAAGCGUUAAUCGGAAUUACUGGGCGUAAAGCGCACGCAGGCGGUCUGUCAAGUCGGAUGUGAAAUCCCCGGGCUCAACCUGGGAACUGCAUUCGAAACUGGCAGGCUAGAGUCUUGUAGAGGGGGGUAGAAUUCCAGGUGUAGCGGUGAAAUGCGUAGAGAUCUGGAGGAAUACCGGUGGCGAAGGCGGCCCCCUGGACAAAGACUGACGCUCAGGUGCGAAAGCGUGGGGAGCAAACAGGAUUAGAUACCCUGGUAGUCCACGCUGUAAACGAUGUCGAUUUGGAGGUUGUGCCCUUGAGGCGUGGCUUCCGGAGCUAACGCGUUAAAUCGACCGCCUGGGGAGUACGGCCGCAAGGUUAAAACUCAAAUGAAUUGACGGGGGCCCGCACAAGCGGUGGAGCAUGUGGUUUAAUUCGAUGCAACGCGAAGAACCUUACCUGGUCUUGACAUCCACAGAACUUAGCAGAGAUGCUUUGGUGCCUUCGGGAACUGUGAGACAGGUGCUGCAUGGCUGUCGUCAGCUCGUGUUGUGAAAUGUUGGGUUAAGUCCCGCAACGAGCGCAACCCUUAUCCUUUGUUGCCAGCGGUUAGGCCGGGAACUCAAAGGAGACUGCCAGUGAUAAACUGGAGGAAGGUGGGGAUGACGUCAAGUCAUCAUGGCCCUUACGACCAGGGCUACACACGUGCUACAAUGGCAUAUACAAAGAGAAGCGACCUCGCGAGAGCAAGCGGACCUCAUAAAGUAUGUCGUAGUCCGGAUUGGAGUCUGCAACUCGACUCCAUGAAGUCGGAAUCGCUAGUAAUCGUAGAUCAGAAUGCUACGGUGAAUACGUUCCCGGGCCUUGUACACACCGCCCGUCACACCAUGGGAGUGGGUUGCAAAAGAAGUAGGUAGCUUAACCUUCGGGAGGGCGCUUACCACUUUGUGAUUCAUGACUGGGGUGAAGUCGUAACAAGGUAACCGUAGGGGAACCUGCGGUUG